CGUGAACAUAAAGGAUAUUUCAAGGGCAUAACUCAAUGGUAAACCUUUAGAUUUCAACUAAGAAAUCUUAUUUUCAAAUCAUUGGGAUGAGGGGUGAGGUAAUAGAGAGGCUAUCUGCCUGUUGUGGUGUAGCCUAGUCAUUGGACCAAAGAAGAGCAGUGUUUAAGCACAAAGUGCAAGGAGCAGUUGCAAAAGCACAAAAGAACACUACAAUUACUAUUUUUCAUGGAUUUACGCUUCUUUUAUUCGAACAUUAACAGUUAAGAAUAAUUGAAAUACACAUAAAAACAUGCAAGUGAUUCUUAGUUUAUGGGUUGCAAUAUGAUCCAUGUAAGAACCUAAUGAUGAUGGUGAAAAAAGAAUUGCAUCAAGGAAGAAAACAGUGAGAUCAGUUAGCAAGCCUGCAACCGAGAAAGCAACUUACUAUGGAAGAAAAAUGAACUUCAGAACUAUACACAACGGAACACCCUCUCAACUCUGCAUAUUUGGUAUGUGGCAGUUACUGUAUAAUCAACUUUUAGUGAGAAAGCUUACGAGAGUGACUUGUUUUAUCUUCCCUGUGCAACCUCAGACCACGCAAAUGGCCACUUCUACUACCAACUGCAUUCAUGUCCAAGCCCAAGGGACGUACCUGAUCUCCUCCUUCGAGUAUUCUUAGGACCUGUGAUAUUGCAGGUCUGGAUUCUGGAUCUGGAUGUAGGCACAAGAAAGCAGCUUGACCCAUAGCCUUUAGUUGAUGGGGAAAUUCAUGGACUUGCUCAGUGCCCAAGUAUGGAUCCAGUAAUCGGUAAAUUUUUGUCAAGACAUGGCUUGGAUGUAGUGCAGCAAGAGUGUACCAGUCGGAUAAGAAAUGUUGUCCCUCAAAAAAAUAGAGCUCACUUAUUCUUUUGCCUGUCAUUAGUUCUAACAAUACCACUCCAAAUGCAUAAACGUCAACUUUCUGUGUAAUUUUUCCACCAUCAAUGUACUCUGGUGCCAGAUACCCUGAAGUUCCAAUCACUCGUUCUUCUGUACUAAUGUUCCAUUCAGAGUGCCACCUAGCAAGCCCAAAAUCAGCAGCCAGGGGUUCAAAAUCAUGCGUUACGAGGAUAUUAUUGGGCCUCAUAUCUCUGUGUACUAUACAACCCACUCUACAUUCUUCAUGAAGAUAUCUUAAGCCCCUAGCUGUCCCAAUUGCUAUUUUCAUCCGUGAGUGCCAAUCUAGAGGUGCUCUCUUGUUUCCAUGCAAAUGGAAGUCCAGGGAGCCAUUGCAUAUGUACUCAUAGACCAAUAUUCUCUUUUUCCCAUCAAUGCAAAACCCGAUCAACAACACAACAUUUCUGUGUUGUGCACAGCUCAAUAUCCUCACUUCCCUGCAGAAAUCAGCAUCUGCUUGUGAGUUACCAGACUUUAACAGCUUCACUGCAAUCACCUGACCAUCCCCUAAUACCCCUCUAUAAACAUUGCCAAAACCUCCUUCAGCUAAGAAAUUCAUAUCUGAAAAUCCUUCUGUGGCUUUCUCUAGCUCCUUGUAAGAAAAUUGUCUUGGAGGUUUUCCAAAAACUGGAGCCUUGUGUUGACACAGUGAGCAUAAAGGAGGAGGCAUUGAAGAUGCUCUACCUAAAGAAACUGCGUUUCUUAUACUUGAGGUUGCAGUGUAUUCCUUUCUAUGGCUCAGGCUGAGCCCAAUUAUACCAGCCCUAGCAUCUUGAUCAUACUGCACAAAUUUAUCAAGCAGAGUUGAAGAAGUUUGGGAUCUACUUUUUGAAGUAUGUUGGUUCUGGGUUGUUGGGCUUUUUUCAUCAAAAAUGUGGUUUUGGGGAAUCCAAAAUAUACUAUUUUGAUUACUAGCUACAGAAGAUGUUAGGUUUGCUGAAAGUGUGAUAAGCCUAUCAUCUGAACAACAAGCUGUAAGUGAGUCAUCAGAGUCAAUUUGAUUAUUUUCUGGUGCAGAAUUUCCUUUAUUUGUUCCUUCAAAAAGGGGAUUUUUUUCAUAAAUGAGAAAAAGGGGUGUCGUUGAGCCGCAACUUGAUAAUGAAUCUUCUCUGUUUCUUGAGUAGGAAGUACUUGACUCCUCAGGGCUGCUCACUGGCGUAGAAUGCUUCAUCCUGUGUCCUUCAAAACUCCUGU
rnacentral:misc_RNA from 1 species